rnacentral:rRNA from 1 species
GAUAGCCCGGAGAAAUUCGGAUUAAUACCCCAUACGAUUAAUAUCACACAAGUGACUUUAAGGAAAGCUUUGGCGGUAGAAGAUGGGCAUGCGUUCUAUUAGUUUGUUGGUAAGGUAACGGCUUACCAAGACUUCGAUAGAUAGGGGGCCUGAGAGGGUGAACCCCCACACUGGUACUGAGACACGGACCAGACUCCUACGGGAGGCAGCAGUGAGGAAUAUUGGACAAUGGAGGCAACUCUGAUCCAGCCAUGCCGCGUGCAGGAAGAAUGCCCUAUGGGUUGUAAACUGCUUUUAUUUAGGAAGAAACGCCAGUACGUGUACUGGUUUGACGGUACUAAACGAAUAAGGACCGGCUAACUCCGUGCCAGCAGCCGCGGUAAUACGGAGGGUCCAAGCGUUAUCCGGAAUCAUUGGGUUUAAAGGGUCCGCAGGCGGGCUUUUAAGUCAGUGGUGAAAUCUCUUGGCUUAACCAAGAGAUUGCCAUUGAAACUACUAGUCUUGAAUUCGGUCGAAGUGGGCGGAAUGUGUCAUGUAGCGGUGAAAUGCAUAGAUAUGACACAGAACACCGAUAGCGAAGGCAGCUCACUAGGCCUGAAUUGACGCUCAGGGACGAAAGCGUGGGGAGCGAACAGGAUUAGAUACCCUGGUAGUCCACGCCGUAAACGAUCAUUACUCGAUAUCAGCGAUAUACAGUUGGUGUCUAAGCGAAAGUGAUAAGUAAUGCACCUGGGGAGUACGAUCGCAAGGUUGAAACUC